UUGUAUUGGAAAAUUUCUUCUUUUAAAGGCAACGCUUAAGGAUGAGUCGGCGGCGGAUUAGGCUGUUGGUGGUGUAAAGGACCACCAAACCGAAUAUCCGUAGGGGCCUUGAGAGAGGUAGCCCCGAGAAGGACACUGAGAUACUGGUCCUAGCCCUACGGGGUGCAGCAGGCGCGAAAACUUUCCAAUGCACGCAAGUGUGAGAAGGGAAUCCCGAGUGCUUAUGUUUAACAUAGGCUUUUGCCAAGAGCAAGUAUCUUGGCGAAUAAGUGGUGGGUAAGACUGGUGCCAGCAGCCGCGGUAACCCCAGCGCCACAAGUGGCAAUCAGAAUUAUUGGGUCUAAAGCGUCCGUAGCCGGUUUGAUAAGUCUUUUGUGAAAUUGAUGCGCUUAACGUAUCAACGUGCAAAAGAUACUGCCAAACUAGAAACUGGGAGGAGUUAGAGGUAUUCCUUGGGGAGCGGUAAAAUGUUAUAAUCCUUGGAGGACCUCCAGUGGCGAAAGCGUCUAACUAGAACAGCUUUGACGGUGAGGGACGAAAGCCAGGGGAGCAAAACGGAUUAGAUACCCGAGUAGUCCUGGCCCUAAACGCUGUGAGCAAGGUGUUGCAUAUUCUUUAUGAAUGUGCGGUGUCGAAACGAAGGUGUUAAGCUCACCACCUGGGAAGUAUGGUCGCAAGGCUGAAACUUAAAGGAAUAGGCGGGGGACCACCACAAGGGGUGCGGCGUGCGGUUUAAUCCAAUUCAACGCGGAGAAUCUCACCAGAGGCGACGGCAGGAUGAUAGUCAGAUUGACGGUCUUACUUGACGAGCCGAGAGGUAGUGCAUGGCCGUCGUCAGCUCGUGCCGUAAGGUGUCCUGCUAAGUCAGGCAACGAGCGAGACCUGUAUCCACAAUUGCUACCGACUUUCAGAAUCGGGCACAUUGUGGAGACUGCCUUGGAAACAAGGAGGAAGGCGCAGGCUACGAUAGGUCUGUAUGCUCCGAAUCUUCUGGGCUACACGCGCGCAACAAUGGUAGGGACAAUGGGAUACAACUCCGAAAGGAGAAGUUAAUCCUCUAAAUCCUAUCCUAGUCCAGAUUGAGGGUUGUAACUCACCCUCAUGACGGUGGAAUCCCUAGUAAUCAGACGUUAUCAUCGUCCGGUGAAUAUGUCCUGCUCCUUGCACUCACUGCCCGUCAAACCAUCCGAGCAGAGUUUAGGUGAGGCUCAAUUAUGUUGAGUCGAACCUAAGCCCAGUGAGGCGGGUUAAGUCGUCACAAGGUA
rnacentral:rRNA from 1 species